AGCAAGGUGGGUCACCUCUUUCACAGGGCACAAGUGCCAGAAAUCCUUCCUCCUAUGCCCAAAUGUCAUUCCUCACCCACACAAAAUGUCAGGGGGAAU